GACGAACGCUGGCGGCGCGCCUAACACAUGCAAGUCGAACGGAGUCAAGAGGAGCUUGCUUUUCUUGACUUAGUGGCGAACGGGUGAGUAACGCGUGAGUAACCUGCCCUGGAGUGGGGGACAACAGUUGGAAACGACUGCUAAUACCGCAUAAGCCCACGGAUCCGCAUGGAUCUGCGGGAAAAGGAUUUAUUCGCUUCAGGAUGGACUCGCGUCCAAUUAGCUAGUUGGUGAGGUAACGGCCCACCAAGGCGACGAUUGGUAGCCGGACUGAGAGGUUGAACGGCCACAUUGGGACUGAGACACGGCCCAGACUCCUACGGGAGGCAGCAGUGGGGGAUAUUGCGCAAUGGGGGAAACCCUGAUGCAGCGACGCCGCGUGGAGGAAGAAGGUUUUCGGAUUGUAAACUCCUGUCGUUAGGGACGAUAAUGACGGUACCUAACAAGAAAGCACCGGCUAACUACGUG
rnacentral:rRNA from 1 species